UACAGAGGGUGCGAGCGUUGUUCGGAAUUAUUGGGCGUAAAGGGCGCGUAGGCGGUGCCACAAGUCACUUGUGAAAUCUCCGGGCUUAACUCGGACCUGCAGGCGAAACUGUGGUGCUGGAGUAUGGGAGAGGUGCGUGGAAUUCCCGGUGUAGCGGUGAAAUGACGUAGAUAUCGGGAGGAACACCUGUGGCGAAAGGCGGC
rnacentral:rRNA from 1 species